UUCCGAAGCUGUCGACUUUUUUUUCGCACGUUUUUAAUAAAACGGAAGACAAAAUUCUUCACCAACUCUCCUUCCUCCUUAGAUUGUUAUGAACUAUCAUUUUCCCCAUAUUUAUCUCUAGCAUUGAUCAUCGGAAUUUUAUAAGAGCAUCGGAUGGAGAUGGAAUAAUCCGACUUACACAAUUUGUUCAUUUAUUUUGAGAUUGAGAGGUGGAAAAUUGGACGCGAUGGUGCAACGUAAUCAGAGUCAGCUGAGCAAUGUCGGCAAGGUAGAUGACGAUGAAACAGUGAUGGCGGAGCAUCUUGUUAAAUGGAGUGUUGCACGAUCAAAACUCG